GCGAGUUGCUGCAAGUCGCGCCGGGAGCUUGGGCGCGAGUGGUCCCGCUGAAGGGUUCCCUCCUCCUCCUCUUCCUCCUCCUCUUCCUGAGUCCGCCAGCUAACGCGGACUGGAACUCUCCCGGAAGUAAUUUCUCCUGGGGGACUUCCCUGGUGGUCCAGUUGGUAAGACUCCGCGCUCCCAAUGCAGGGUGUCUGAGUUCGAUCCCUGGUCAGACAACUAGAUCCCACAUGCCGCAACUAAGAGUCAGCAUGCCACAACUAAGAGUCAGCAUGCCGCAACUAAAGACCCUGCGUGCCGCAACUAAGACCCGGCACAGCCAAAGUAUUCCCAUAGCCCUGAUCCUCUGAAGCUGUGAUUUGGCUUGCAAGAGGAAAGAAGCCUUCAUCACUGGCCUGGAUGGAGCAGCCUGUGAUCAGAAAACCCUUUCACCCUCUGCUACUUACGCCUGGGAUUGGAAGACCCUGUGGGAUGAGCUGUCCAGGCUUUCCUGGGAUGAGAGAUGGAAACCACCAGCACGUGUCUUGUUAAAACUAAACAGUCAAAAGUAGCCUCAUAUGUUCCUUGGAAGACAUCUGCCCUCCCUGACUGGAGGUGUUUCACAAAAGAGUCCGCAUGUCUCAAGCUCUGAAAUAGGAAUUGUGUGCCUGGAGGUGACUUCAUCUAUCCGCCUGGUUCUCUCUUCCAUCCCCCAGCCGAUCUCUGCUCUUGUGUCUGCCUAUCCUUCUGACUUGGCGCUGGACCCAGGGGGCUGACACAGACUCAUUCAGGUGAAUGGCUGCUCAUACACCCACCUUUCUUUGUUUCCACGUGGCCUGGCUCCUCCAGGGCUCUCCCCUAUCCUGGGCUCCCGGGUUUUGGACUAGGAAGUGACCAGAAGCCUUGAAGGCUUGUAGGUGAAAGUGGACAAGAUGCUGGCAAGGGGUGUUCCAGAACAAUUCCCAGAAACAUGGAAGCAGGGAUGCAGGGUGAUGCAUCACUCCUCUUCCCCUCCUCCCUCAGAGCUGAGACUAUCAGCAGAGGCCAGAAAUCUUGGAGAGGAAAGUGCUGGGUGUGUGUAUGUAGCCAGGGGAA